UCCGGAGACUUCAUGUUGUCUACGAACAUCCUUCUCUCUGGAAACAAUUACACAAAGAUCGCCCUACUAUUCAAAUUCAUGAAUAUUGGAAUGGUGGUCAAUACAACAUUCCACUCAAUCCAGGACACAUACUGUGUGGACUCCAUAAAGAACUUCUGGAAGGGGAAACGGGCAGAGGUCCUUGCACUGCUAAAGGACAAGGACAGUGUGACUGUACUCGGUGAUGGCAGGAUGGAUUCACCAGGGCACUGUGCGCAAUAUUGCACAUACACAACAAUAGAACUCGAGUCCAGAGACAUCAUCCACAUUGAAAACAUAGACAAAAGGGAAACAAAUCGAAACUCAGUGGUGAUGGAGAAGGAAGGCUUCAUCAGAACACUGGAUGCUCUGCUGCUGGAAAUCCCUGUUAAAGAAGUGGUAACAGAUGCUCACAGACAGAUCUCAGCCUUACUAGAUCCAACAUGAGGAAAAUACAAAGACUGGGGUCUGACACACUCUCUGGACAUCUGGCACGCAGCAAAGAACCUGGCCAAAAAAUUGCACGCUGCUGGCUCUGUCAAACUACAGUCAGGGAUCCAUCAGUGGAUGAGACAUAUUGUCAAUCACUUCUGGUACUGCUGUAAACAUGCAGUAACAGAGGAGAAAUUCAAAAUAAUGUGGCAUGGAGUCCUCCACCAUGUAAGAGACAAGAACAGCUGGUCUUUUGGGAGCUGUGACCACGGGCCACUUGAUGAGAGCAGCAGAGAUAAGCCA